UACAGAGGUGGCAAGCGUUGUUCGGAAUUACUGGGCGUAAAGGGCGCGUAGGCGGUCUUUUAAGUUCCGUGUGAAAUCCCUCGGCUCAACUGGGGAACUGCACGGAAAACUGGGAGGCUUGAGUUCGGGAGAGGGAAGCGGAAUUCCGGGUGUAGCGGUGAAAUGCGUAGAUAUCCGGAGGAACACCGGUGGCGAAGGCGGCUUCCUGGACCGACACUGACGCUGAGGCGCGAAAGCUAGGGGAGCAAACGGG
rnacentral:ncRNA from 2 species